rnacentral:lncRNA from 1 species
UUACUACUCCUUUAUUUAAUUGUGAUUGAAUGUAAAUGUUUAAUUGUGCACUUUCUUUUGGAAUUGUGUUUAAAUGAGUGUUAAGUAAUGGUUUAUGACAAAGUAAACAUGAUGUUUGGUAUUGGUCAUGUAUGUCCAGGUAUAACGACUAUGGUCUUUAACAAUUGUGACCAUAUAAGAAGCUCUAGUUAUAGUGUACAUGAUAAGAGCCGCAAAGGUCAAUAUGAACUAAAUCAAAGGUGUUUUCAGUAAUAUGACCAUUGACAUUAAAAGGUAACCUUCGUUGUUUAGACAAAGGGCAUACAAUACAUAUAAGAUCCUUCAAAUUUCCAACAUCAGCAACAGAUGUUUUAUGCAAUGUUUGGUUUAACACAUGUCCUAAUCUAUAUUGCCACAAAAUAGAUUUGCCACCAAUGUUUUUUUUACAAGCAUGACUGGCUAUUUUAGCCUUAUUAACUAGAAAGAACUCUUGACUCAAGUGGUAAAGACCUUCAUGUACUUCUCCAAUAGCAAUAGUGUCAUUAUUCAACAAAUCCUAUAAAAUGCAAUGGUCAGGAAAAGAAUGUACUAAAAUUUUUACAGGUUUUGGUAAGUUUAGUUACAGAAAUUAAAUUGCAUUUGCAGCUUGGUAUGUAUAGGGUAUCAAUCAAAUAUAUUCUUUUGUGAAGUUUAAUAUUUCCUAUGUGGGUUACUACCUUGAGGGUUCCAUUGAACAAUCAUACUGUUCUUGGUAUUUCUAGUUGGGUUAUUGUAGCAAAAAGAGAGAUGUUGUGGGUCAUGUGAUCUAUGGCACCAGUGUCCAUGAUCCACUUGCCCUUUUCCUUACAAUCUAAACCUUGAGAAACAGAAUUUAGUUUGUACCCACAA